GAAAGUUAGGGGAUCGAAGACGAUCAGAUACCGGUCGUAGUCUUAACCAUAAAACUAUGCCAGACUAGGGAUCGGACGGUGUUUAUUUUUAUGACCCGGUUCGGCACCUUACGAGAAAUCAAAGUGCUUGGGC
rnacentral:ncRNA from 2 species